AAUCUUAGACAAUGGGGGAAACCCUGAUCUAGCGAUGCCGCGUGAGUGAAGAAGGCAUUAGGGUUGUAAAGCUCUUUCAACUGUGAAGAUAAUGACGGUAGCAGUAGAAGAAGCCCCGGCUAACUCCGUGCCAGCAGCCGCGGUAAGACGGAGGGGGUUAGCGUUGUUCGGAAUGACUGGGCGUAAAGCGCAUGUAGGUGGUUAAUUAAGUUAGGCGUGAAAGCCCCGGGCUUAACCUGGGAAUUGCGCUUGAUACUGAUUAGCUUGAGUUCGGUAGGGGAAAGUAGAAUUCCUAGUGUAGAGGUGAAAUUCGUGAAUAUUAGGAGGAAUACCAGAGGCGAAGGCGGCUUUCUGGACCGGUACUGACACUGAGAUGCGAAAGCGUGGGGAGCAAACAGGAUUAGGUACCCUGGUAGUCCACGCCGUA
rnacentral:rRNA from 1 species